GUAACAAACCUAAAAAACAACCCUUCUUAAACCAAAAAAGCACGUCCAUUUAAGUAGCAAUUUCCACUCCAUUUUAUCUCUGCAAUCAUAAAAGAUAAAAAGGGAUUUAUUUACCAUCAACAUGUAUUUUUUAUCUAAUAUUGUGAUUUUGAUACAACCUUUCAAUCUUGGUUAAGUUUUAUUGUAGCUAGAAAUGCAGGUGGGUUUGACUGAAUAGUUGUUUGCUCUAAAUACUGCUUUGUGUCAUUUAUCGGCCGAUACUUAAUCGUUCCUAAUAGGAACUUUCAUACAUUUUUCAUACUAAUUAAGUAUCGGCCGGGUUCCCUAAAUCUAAAUAAAUUAUUUCUUUAACAUUUAUUUUUACCUUUUCCAAGAGCCAAAACACCAAAACGGAAUCCUAUAACAAACCUUAAAAUCUAAAAAGAAAAACAACGGUUCUUCCACCAAUACAGCACGCCAACCCAUUUAAGUACCAAUUUCUACUCGUUGGAAUGCAGGUGUCUGAGAAUAAUUUUUUCCUCUACCUAUUUGCUUUGCCAGCCGAUACUUAAUCGUUCCUAAUGGGAACUUUCAUACAUUUUUCAUACUAAUUAAGUAUCGGCCGGGUUCCCUAAAUCUAAAUAGAUUAUUUAUUUAAUAUUUAUUUUCACCUUUUCCGAAAGUAAAACAGAAUCCUGAACCAAACCUCUAAACCAGAAAAAACAACAACUCAUCGAUUCAGCUAAAAGUGCAAAAAUAAAACAACAAUUUUUAGGUCCAAAAAAAGCUGGAAAAUAAAUAAUUAUCUUUAUUAUUAAAAAAUAUUAAACCUGAAAAUAGAAACAAAAUUAAAUUAAUUAAAUAUAACAAUCAAAUACAUUGUUAAAAUAAUAACAAUGUAAUAAAACAAAUUACAAACAAAAUUCCACACCACAUCCUUAUAUCUCUUUAUUCUCUUUUGUAUUUUCCAAAAUUUCAAUUUUAUCCACUGUAGGAAUAAAUUGAAUUUCUGAAAAUAAAAGAAAAAAACAAAGCAAUCAAUAUUUGAUAAGUCAAUAAAAAAAAAAAAUAUUAUAAAAAUUAAAAAUUAAAUUUCAUUCUUACGGAAAAUUGGACUCUUCUUCUCUCACGUCUUCUGGACAAUUGGAAAGCAGUUCUCCUCGUCAUUAUUACAUGUUCUUGUGGAACAUAUAAAAAGCCAAGGUUUGGCUGAAAAAAAAAAAGAAAAUAAAUUCAAGAUUAAAGACAAAUUUUUUUUCAACUUACGAAGACAUGGGGUCCAUCGCCAAUAAGUUCUAUUGGAAUCAAUUGUGGUAAUUCUGGUGUGCUUACCAAAUUAUUUUGCCUCCUGAACCAGUUUCUUGGAUUGGUCCACGCUCCGAAUCCAAACUAAAACAAAAUUCUUUUAUUUUAUAAAAGUUUACCAACAUGAAUUUUCAAAACUUACGUUUCUAAAAAACGCAUUCUCCAACAAAUUAUUCAUUUUUUAGUUCAAUUCUUAUUUUUUCUUGAAAUUUUUUCUAUUUUCUAUUUUUUUUUUUUUUUGUAGAAUAUUUUUUUGCUUUUUUAUAGUCAAUCGACACUAAAAUUUCUCGUCGAUUUCAUUACUUAAGUAAACUUUUUUGCAAUAAGUGAAUGUGAAUUAUAA